rnacentral:rRNA from 1 species
CCAGACUCCUACGGGAGGCAGCAGUGAGGAAUAUUGGUCAAUGGGCGGAAGCCUGAACCAGCCAAGUCGCGUGAGGGAAUAAGGCCCUACGGGUCGUAAACCUCUUUUGCCGGGGAGCAAGGGCCGGGACGAGUCCCGGUCCGGAGAGUACCCGGAGAAAAAGCAUCGGCUAACUCCGUGCCAGCAGCCGCGGUAAUACGUAGGGGGCAAGCGUUAUCCGGAUUCACUGGGUGUAAAGGGAGCGUAGACGGCGACGCAAGUCUGGAGUGAAAGCCCGGGGCCCAACCCCGGGACUGCUCUGGAAACUGCGUCGCUGGAGUACGGGAGGGGCAGGCGGAAUUCCUGGUGUAGCGGUGAAAUGCGUAGAUAUCAGGAGGAACACCGGCGGCGAAGGCGGCCUGCUGGACCGUGACUGACGUUGAGGCUCGAGAGCGUGGGGAGCAAACAGGAUUAGAUACCCCUGUA